AUUCUGAAACCUUCUAUAACAAAUCUUCGUUGGAAGUCCCAGUAAAAUUAUGAUCUUUUAUAAGCAGAAAAAAGUGAAUUGCCUUAACUUCAACUGUUAUCUGCAAGUAAUAGUAAAGUAUUAAAUGCUACUACAUCUGAGCAGGAGCACCAAAAUAUAGCCUCCAGUCCUUGAUACUUUGGGGAAGACACCCUGGGGAAGACAGCCUGCAGUUCCCAUGUAAGAAGAAAUUGCUAUUUCAUCAUAAAUAUGUGAAAACAGGACAACUAAGCCACCUUAACAGGUACAUUAAGUGUUUUCCUGUUAUUCUCUAACAAAUAUUUUUCUCUUCAGGA
rnacentral:lncRNA from 1 species